ACAAAAGUGAGGAGGCAGUUUAAAUAAGGUUGUCUCUUCAUGGGAAAGAACUUGAGGUAUAUCAAAAUCAAAGGCCGAGAAAUCGUUUUAGUCGUCAUUUUUCCCAUUGGCGGUCUGAUUGUUGCUCGUCCACAC
rnacentral:snoRNA from 1 species